rnacentral:rRNA from 1 species
UACGUAGGGGGCUAGCGUUGUCCGGAAUCAUUGGGCGUAAAGCGCGUGUAGGCGGCCCGGUAAGUCCGCUGUGAAAGUCGGGGGCUCAACCCUCGGAUGCCGGUGAAUACUGUCGGGCUCGAGUACGGAAGAGGCGAGUGGAAUUCCUGGUGUAGCGGUGAAAUGCGCAGAUAUCAGGAGGAACACCUAUUGCGAAGGCAGCUCGCUGGGACGUCACUGACGCUGAGACGCGAAAGCGUGGGGAGCAAACAGG